GGCACAAAAAGAAGUAUCUCCAGCAUGGGGAUGGUGCUGUCCUCUUAAUUGAAACAGAUGUUCUCUGGCUGGACAGGUCCCAGGUGAUCACAAGGAGGAACAGAGUAUACAGCACAUGUUCCUUCUCAGUGAUGCUGUUUCCUCCAGUGGUAGUAGGUAUGUUUUGGCUGGACUGGCUCUAGGUUCUCUCAUUAUAUGUGGGAAGGAAAGUGUUUCCUAGGACAGAUUUGCUCUCAGUAAUGCUGGCUCUCCGAUUUUAACAGGGAUACAAAAGGUUGACAGGACCCUGGUGCUCAGGUCUGAGUCUCCCCCAACAUGAGCCAUGGUUCUGGGUGUCCCACUUGUCCUUGCUCCAAAGCUGAGUGUUCAAGACAUGGUGCUGGGGCCUCAGACAUACACAAUGACCUCAAAGCUGCCACUACCCGUAAGGGCUGAAAAUCUCAUAAAUCCAAAUGGGUCUGGUGUGGUGUUGGCAAAAGAUGAGCAGGAGUCCUCAGUGCUAUGCCUGCUGGUGGAUGAGCCAAUAGGGAAACAGCUGAAGUGCCACCAAAGGCUGCCUGGGUGCUGACAGUGAUGCCAAAGUUGGAAGAUGGGAAUGUCAAACUCCCAAAAGGUGACUGAGUUGUGCUCCUAUUGGGUUCCAUGGCUGCAGGAUAGGUUAAGUGUGGAGAUUUUGCUUGGGCUGCCAGGUUUCCCAAAGGGAAAGAGUUGUCAAAGCUGUCAAGAGGAGGCAGGAAGAUAACAGACUAGGAAUUGAACAUGGUACCCACCUAGAUUUCACUGGAGUCAAAGGCAGGCUUGGAUGCCGAGUCUGAAGAGGGGCUGGUUAUUGGAGUGAGGUGACUGCAGAAUCAGUGGUCGCUGGGCCAGAAAUGACAGUGGCAUGGGGGAGAGUGUCUCCCUAUCGCUGCCAACAUAGGCUCCUGAAUUUCAGCUGAAGGGUGGUUCCUGCCCCAAAGGGAAGGUUGAAAGUUCAGGUACAGCUGCUGACCAUAAAAGCAGGUGGGCUGGUGACAACUGCGACCUUUGCGGGGGAUAUCUGCUGCACGUUGCGGGUGCUUGGUCAAAUGGGAGGGAGCUCACGUGGGAUCCUGGUGGAGACCUGAAGAUGGAAGCCCGGGAAGGCAGGGCGGUGUUGAUAUCAGUUGUAGCAAAGUCCACAGCACCCCAGGAGGUCCAAUCUGAAGAUGGGCAGACUGGGAUGGUGGAAGUGAUUGCAGAGGCAGUGAUGGGCUGGCUGGUGAAGAUAGGGAUACUGGUGAAAGGGACUUGAGGAGUCUGUGAGAAAAAGGGAGGAAAAUCCACAUACACAGGUGUAGGUGACUCAAUUCUACAGUAGGUAGGCUGUAAGGGGAGGGAUGGGUGCUGGGAGGUUAAGAGAAGUAGAAGAUCCUGCAGCGGUGACCAAGGGACUGGAAUGCAAAGGGCCUCUCUUCUCAUUAUUAAGGGGAGCUCCCAAUAUGGGUUGGAAUCUAAAGUGACAAACAGCAGGAAUAGCAAAAGAAGGAGAGUUAGAGAUUGCACUUCUCAUCUUAUGAUCAGCAUCUGGUGUGGGGGAUGGAUGGGUACAGGGGCAGACAGGAUUGGUGGCCCAACAGACGGGUCAGGCAAAUCAGUGACUGCUAAUUUGAUAGCAUCCAGAAUCUGCAAGGGGGAAGUGGCCAAUGGCAAUGUAACUGCAGUCCCCAAAACAAACAGGGAGAAAAAACAGGCAGGCUGGGCGGAACUGAUGUUGGAAGUGCCUCAGUUUUCUCCUCCAACCUUGUGGUUCCAUUGGCUCAGUGUUCUUCUCCAAGCCGAGGUCUCCAGCAAUGACCAUAUAAGAAAGAUGGGAGGUGGGGGCAGCUCACCUUGACCCCACAACAGUGGCAGUGGCAGCAGUAGUGGCAGCAAUAGUGGCAUUGAAAAUUUCCAUUUACAGAGCCUGCAACUGACAGACGUGGCUGGUGACUUUCUUUGACAGACUGUCUGAAAGCUUUCCUCUCUGAGUCUUCUUCUUUGACUUCAAUAAGGCUGGAGAGCUGAGUCAGUGGCCUUCAUCAAGCUCUUCCCUUGUCAGCCUCUCCGGCAACGGGAAGCUAGGCUGGGCCAGACAGUCCUGCCGCACCUGGAUCAGUGGUACAAAGCAGCAUUAAGCCUCUGGCAGGGCUGUGUGAGCCGGUGAUGGUACAGCCCUUGGUGAAAGAGCUCGUGGAAGACGUCUGUGAUAUCUUACCUAAGCUAUCUUCUUGGAAUAGAGGCGCAGGAGUGCUCCCAAAUACAUGACAACUCCACUCGUCACCGGGAGGCUGGAUGCUGAUGGUGCAUUUCCAUGGCUAUGGGGGCCCCUUUUCUGAUAGUCCUGCCUUUGGACACCUUUUGAUUCUCUUCCUCCUUCAACAUCGCCUCCCCUCACACACCUCGUGUCUUCAGCUCAGUCUCCUUUAAGCAAGGAUCUGGAGGGUGAUUGCAUGGCCCAGGCCUUGCAGAGAUGACUGCUUGAUAAAGUGGCAAAGGAGGAGGAAAGUCAGUUUGUCCAUGGAGGAGGGAUUUUUACCAUUCCAGAGUGGCUGGACACUUGGAGGUACAAGAAAGCAGCAGCAGCUUCUUCAGAGAGUGCCCUCGGGACCCUCAGAGAGAAGCACUGAGGCUGCCUAAGCUGAUAUGGCCUCUUAGGAGGCAUGUAACACCCAGGGGCAAAGGCACUGGAUCCAGGUGGAACUGCCUAGGAAAAGGGCCAACGAGAGGCACAGAGUCCUGUUUGCCACAGAAAGUCAUAGCACCGUAGAAAGUCACCAAACACCUGAGUCUCAGCAACUUCUCUGUGAACGGAGAUCAGCACCAGCUACCUUACCACCGCUGGAAGAAUUCACUCAACCAACAUACAAUAAAGUAUUCCAUAAACAGUAA
ensembl:lncRNA